AAUCAUUUAUUAAGCAUUGCCCUGGCCUAAGACACCACAUGGGUCAUUUCUUCCAGGCUCCAACUUGCUUCUGCUUUGCCAUAUGGUAACACGCCGUAUUAUGGAAGCACCAUCAUUACCGCCAUUUGCAGGGGAAGCCUAAAGAGAUAAAUGCCAGCCAGCAUCCCUGUCUCUGGGGCCCUGGAGAGGCCUUCAACACACCUGGCCUCACUGCCCUGUGGCUUCAACAAAGAGGCCGAGCAUCUCCUAUAAACCUUGAGGUCCAUGGAUGACAUAGCGGAAUGAUGGAUUUCAGAAAAGGCAGGUGCUUCCCACUCUUUAAAUUUUUGUUUAUUCUUUCCAAGUUUCCCAUCAACAGCCCUGCAGUAAAAAUUCAGGGCUUCAGAGACAAAUAUUUCAUGAGUACAGACUGUGAUGAGGAAAAGCAAGCCAUUCCCUCUCUAUCAGGAUCCAGAGCACACUGCUGUUACGACUCCAGAACCGAUAAGGAAGCUAUGUGUGGAAGUAUGAGCUCAGGUCGCCUUCUGACCCUCUGUGACGGUCUAUUUCAGGCAGUUAUGGAUAGAUAACAUUACAGACACUGGUAAUUAAAACAACACUAAUUUUG
rnacentral:lncRNA from 10 species